rnacentral:tRNA from 1 species
GGCCUGAUGGUCUAGUAGUAUGAUUCCUUGUUAGGGUGUUCCCAAUUCGAGGAGGUCCCGGGUUCAAUUCCCGGUCAGGCCC